UAGACUAUACUUUCAGGGAUCAUUUCUAUAGUUUGUUACUAGAAAGGUCUUUCCUGAUCAUCAUCCCUUGUCCUCACCCUUAUUUCUUGACUAGAAAUUUACCUGUAAUACAAUAAUUUAAUUUCCAGAGGG
rnacentral:snoRNA from 1 species